AGAGUUUGAUCCUGGCUCAGGACGAACGCUGGCGGCGUGCCUAAUACAUGCAAGUCGAACGCUUCUUUUUCCACCGGAGCUUGCUCCACCGGAAAAAGAGGAGUGGCGAACGGGUGAGUAACACGUGGGUAACCUGCCCAUCAGAAGGGGAUAACACUUGGAAACAGGUGCUAAUACCGUAUAACAAUCGAAACCGCAUGGUUUUGAUUUGAAAGGCGCUUUCGGGUGUCGCUGAUGGAUGGACCCGCGGUGCAUUAGCUAGUUGGUGAGGUAACGGCUCACCAAGGCCACGAUGCAUAGCCGACCUGAGAGGGUGAUCGGCCACAUUGGGACUGAGACACGGCCCAAACUCCUACGGGAGGCAGCAGUAGGGAAUCUUCGGCAAUGGACGAAAGUCUGACCGAGCAACGCCGCGUGAGUGAAGAAGGUUUUCGGAUCGUAAAACUCUGUUGUUAGAGAAGAACAAGGAUGAGAGUAACUGUUCAUCCCUUGACGGUAUCUAACCAGAAAGCCACGGCUAACUACGUGCCAGCAGCCGCGGUAAUACGUAGGUGGCAAGCGUUGUCCGGAUUUAUUGGGCGUAAAGCGAGCGCAGGCGGUUUCUUAAGUCUGAUGUGAAAGCCCCCGGCUCAACCGGGGAGGGUCAUUGGAAACUGGGAGACUUGAGUGCAGAAGAGGAGAGUGGAAUUCCAUGUGUAGCGGUGAAAUGCGUAGAUAUAUGGAGGAACACCAGUGGCGAAGGCGGCUCUCUGGUCUGUAACUGACGCUGAGGCUCGAAAGCGUGGGGAGCAAACAGGAUUAGAUACCCUGGUAGUCCACGCCGUAAACGAUGAGUGCUAAGUGUUGGAGGGUUUCCGCCCUUCAGUGCUGCAGCUAACGCAUUAAGCACUCCGCCUGGGGAGUACGACCGCAAGGUUGAAACUCAAAGGAAUUGACGGGGGCCCGCACAAGCGGUGGAGCAUGUGGUUUAAUUCGAAGCAACGCGAAGAACCUUACCAGGUCUUGACAUCCUUUGACCACUCUAGAGAUAGAGCUUCCCCUUCGGGGGCAAAGUGACAG
rnacentral:rRNA from 1 species